GUAUCAUGUGAUGAGGAAAAAAACUGCAACAAUAUGAAUUUACUAUCCCGUGAUUCAUUGUAUUUAAGUCUCUGAUGAUU
rnacentral:snoRNA from 1 species